rnacentral:rRNA from 1 species
AACGCGAAGAACCUUACCCAGGCUUGACAUGCACAGGAAUAUACCAGAGAUGGUAUAGCCUUUCGGGGUCUGUGCACAGGUGCUGCAUGGCUGUCGUCAGCUCGUGCCGUGAGGUGUUUGGUUAAGUCCAGCAACGAGCGCAACCCUUAUCAUUAGUUGCCAACAUUUCGGAUGGGAACUCUAAUGAGACUGCCUAGGUUAACUAGGAGGAAGGUGAGGAUGACGUCAAGUCCGCAUGGCCCUUAUGUCUGGGGCUACACACGUGCUACAAUGGUCGGUACAGAAGGCAGCGAAACCGUGAGGUGAAGCAAAUCCCAAAAAGCCGGCCCCAGUUCAGAUUGUAGUCUGCAACUCGACUACAUGAAGAUGGAAUUGCUAGUAAUGGCGAGUCAGCAACAUCGCCGUGAAUACGUUCCCGGGCCUUGUACACACCGGCUAC